rnacentral:rRNA from 1 species
CGCUAGCUACAGGCUUAACACAUGCAAGUCGAGGGGCAGCAUGGUCUUAGCUUGCUAAGGCCGAUGGCGACCGGCGCACGGGUGAGUAACACGUAUCCAACCUGCCGUCUACUCUUGGACAGCCUUCUGAAAGGAAGAUUAAUACAAGAUGGCAUCAUGAGUCCGCAUGUUCACAUGAUUAAAGGUAUUCCGGUAGACGAUGGGGAUGCGUUCCAUUAGAUAGUAGGCGGGGUAACGGCCCACCUAGUCUUCGAUGGAUAGGGGUUCUGAGAGGAAGGUCCCCCACAUUGGAACUGAGACACGGUCCAAACUCCUACGGGAGGCAGCAGUGAGGAAUAUUGGUCAAUGGGCGAGAGCCUGAACCAGCCAAGUAGCGUGAAGGAUGACUGCCCUAUGGGUUGUAAACUUCUUUUAUAAAGGAAUAAAGUCGGGUAUGCAUACCCGUUUGCAUGUACUUUAUGAAUAAGGAUCGGCUAACUCCGUGCCAGCAGCCGCGGUAAUACGGAGGAUCCGAGCGUUAUCCGGAUUUAUUGGGUUUAAAGGGAGCGUAGAUGGAUGUUUAAGUCAGUUGUGAAAGUUUGCGGCUCAACCGUAAAAUUGCAGUUGAUACUGGAUAUCUUGAGUGCAGUUGAGGCAGGCGGAAUUCGUGGUGUAGCGGUGAAAUGCUUAGAUAUCACGAAGAACUCCGAUUGCGAAGGCAGCCUGCUAAGCUGCAACUGACAUUGAGGCUCGAAAGUGUGGGUAUCAAACAGGAUUAGAUACCCUGGUAGUCCACACGGUAAACGAUGAAUACUCGCUGUUUGCGAUAUACUGCAAGCGGCCAAGCGAAAGCGUUAAGUAUUCCACCUGGGGAGUACGCCGGCAACGGUGAAACUCAAAGGAAUUGACGGGGGCCCGCACAAGCGGAGGAACAUGUGGUUUAAUUCGAUGAUACGCGAGGAACCUUACCCGGGCUUAAAUUGCAGAUGAAUUACGGUGAAAGCCGUAAGCCGCAAGGCAUCUGUGAAGGUGCUGCAUGGUUGUCGUCAGCUCGUGCCGUGAGGUGUCGGCUUAAGUGCCAUAACGAGCGCAACCCUUGUUGUCAGUUACUAACAGGUUCCGCUGAGGACUCUGACAAGACUGCCAUCGUAAGAUGUGAGGAAGGUGGGGAUGACGUCAAAUCAGCACGGCCCUUACGUCCGGGGCUACACACGUGUUACAAUGGGGGGUACAGAGGGCCGCUACCACGCGAGUGGAUGCCAAUCCCCAAAACCUCUCUCAGUUCGGACUGGAGUCUGCAACCCGACUCCACGAAGCUGGAUUCGCUAGUAAUCGCGCAUCAGCCACGGCGCGGUGAAUACGUUCCCGGGCCUUGUACACACCGCCCGUCAAGCCAUGGGAGCCGGGGGUACCUGAAGUGCGUAACCGCGAGGAGCGCCCUAGGGUAAAACUGG